UUCAGUGGGCGCGUGUUAUUUUCCUUGGAGUUUGAUUGGUGAAAAGUCAAGCCCGUCGCCGUUUUGGACUCACCGUUUCACCACCUGUUCAUGUCGCUCAAGGCGUUUAAAGUUUGAGAGACGCGCUUACAGUUUAUGGCUUCAGGACUUUCAGGAUUUCACUAAACCUGCAGUGAUUGCACUGCUCUUGCCAUGAGGUCACUGUCCCAUCGAGAGGCGUCCCACCCCAGGAACCAGCCGGUGAAGGUGGGGGGCUCGUGUCCCUGCUUUACCACCACAACAGAUGUUCCCUUGUCCCGUCCUGAUGGGUCUGUCUCAAUAUUAUGAAGAAAAACGUUUUAAGGAAUGUGUGCCUGAGGCAUCUCACCAGAUAUUACAGACUCGGUCCUCUCCACCUCAUUGGCAUCCUUUCCAAUCCACACAAACACCUAUGAGAGGAAACCAAGGAUCAGUGGCACAUGCUAAUCCACGAA